UACGGAAGGCAGCAGUGGGGAAUAUUGCACAAUGGGCGAAAGCCUGAUGCAGCUAUGCCGCGUGUAUGAAGAAGGCCUUAGGGUUGUAAAGUACUUUCAUCGGGGAGGAAAAACAAAACUAAUAAUUUUAUUUCUUGACGUUACCCGAAAAAGAAGCACCGGCUAACUCCGUGCCAGCAGCCGCGGUAAUACGGAGGGUGCUAGCGUUAAUCAGAAUUACUGGGCGUAAAGAGCACGUAGGUGGUUUUUUUAAGUCAGAUGUGAAAUUCCUGGGCUUAACCUAGGAACUGCAUUUUGAAACUGAAAUACUAGAGUAUCGUAGAGGGAGGUAGAAUUCUAGGUGUAGCGGUGAAAUGCGUAGAUAUCUGGAGGAAUACCUGUGGCGAAAGCGGCCUCCUAAACGAAUACUGACACUGAGGUGCGAAAGCGUGGGGAGCAAACGAGGGAUUAGAUACC
rnacentral:rRNA from 1 species